rnacentral:lncRNA from 1 species
GUAACUCCGUAGGAAACACGUUCGGAAACUCCCAAACUACCGACAACUCCUCGAGUGCCGGAAUUACUCGGUCCAUUUCCACAACGGUCGCCAAAUAAGCCACGCAACCGCUGUUAACCAACUUCCUUGCUCUCGUCGCAGAUACCGUCGCGGCGAAGUAUGAGCUCUUGCACGCUCGAUAUGUGAACUCCUCCUGUCUUGGCUCCGG